rnacentral:rRNA from 1 species
UACGUAGGGUGCGAGCGUUAAUCGGAAUUACUGGGCGUAAAGCGUGCGCAGGCGGUUUUGUAAGUCAGAUGUGAAAGCCCCGGGCUUAACCUGGGAAUGGCAUUUGGGACUGCAAGGCUUGAGUGCGGCAGAGGAGACUGGAAUUCCUGGUGUAGCAGUGAAAUGCGUAGAUAUCAGGAGGAAUACCGAUGGCGAAGGCAAUCCCCUGGACCUGUACUGACGCUCAUGCACGAAAGCGUGGGGAGCAAACAGG